rnacentral:rRNA from 1 species
UACGGAGGGGGCGAGCGUUGUCCGGAAUCACUGGGCGUAAAGGGCGCGUAGGCGGCCUGAUAAGUCGGGGGUGAAAUCCUGCGGCUUAACCGCAGGGCUGCCUUCUAAACUGUCAGGCUCGAGCACAGUAGAGGCAGGUGGAAUUCCCGGUGUAGCGGUGGAAUGCGUAGAGAUCGGGAAGAACAUCGGUGGCGAAGGCGGCCUGCUGGGCUGUUGCUGACGCUGAGGCGCGACAGCGUGGGGAGCAAACAGG